rnacentral:rRNA from 1 species
GACGAACGCUGGCGGCGUGCCUAAUACAUGCAAGUCGAACGCAGUGGGGACGGGUGAGUAACACGUGGGUAACCUCCCAUCAGAGGGGAUAACACUUGGAAACAGGUGCUAAACCGAUACUGAUGGAUGGACUCGCGGUGCAUUCGCUAGUUGGUGAGGUAACGGCGCACCAAGGCCACGAUGAAUAGGCGGACUCAGAGGGUGAUAGGCCACACUGGGACUGCGACACGGCCCAGACGCCUACGGGAGGCAGCAUUAGGGAAUCUUCGGCAAUGGACGAAAGUCUGACCGAGCAACGCCGCGUGAUUGAAGAAGGUUUUCGGAUCGUAAAACUCUGUUGUUAGAGCAGCGGUAUCUAACCAGAAAGCCACGGCUAACUACGUGCCAGCCGCCGCGGUAAUUC